GGCCCGUUGGUCAAGCGGCUAAGACGAAGGCCUCUCACGCCUUAAACGUGGGUUCGAUUCCCGCACGGGUCA
rnacentral:tRNA from 1 species